UCUAUCCACCCCUCUCUCCCUGGCCUCUAUCCAUCCCUGUCCUCUAUCCACCCCUCUCUCCCUGGCCUCCCCCCUCCUACCCUCAUCAGAGAGGGGAGGGGCUACUAAUGAAGGAAGAGGUAGGCUCCAGGUCCCAUAUUCACAAAGCAUCAGUACUCCUACUCAGUUACUUUAUGAAUACAGACCCRGACCUAUAAGUUAUAGAAAAGUGUCUUAGAUGACAGCUUUGUAAUAUGGCCCAUGUUAAACCAACAAUAUUAAAAACAACUCCACUUAAUGCUUGUCUUUACCAAUCCUGUACCAAUCUUUUACCAGUCCUGUUCCAAUCCUGUACCAAUCCUGUACCAAUCAUGAAUGGAAUGGAUCCUCUGUGCCAUAAUAACUGAGAGAGACUGGUCUGUUCGGUCUAUAGAACCACUAAAGACAACAUUAAAGAGAAA